rnacentral:rRNA from 1 species
UACGUAGGGGGCAAGCGUUGUCCGGAAUCAUUGGGCGUAAAGCGCACGUAGGCGGCCCGGUAAGUCCGUUGUGAAAGUCAGAGGCUCAACCUCUGGAGGCCAAUGGAUACUGCCGGGCUAGAGUCCGGAAGAGGCGAGUGGAAUUCCUGGUGUAGCGGUGGAAUGACGCAGAUAUCAGGAGGAACACCAAUGGCGAAGGCAGCUCGCUGGGACGGUACUGACGCUGAGGUGCGAAAGCGUGGGAGCAAACAGG